UACGUAGGGGGCAAGCGUUGUCCGGAUUUACUGGGCGUAAAGGGUGCGUAGGCGGUAUUUUAAGUCAGAUGUGAAAUAUCCGAGCUUAACUCGGAGGGUGCAGUUGAAACUGGGAUACUUGAGUGCAGGAGAGGAAAGUGGAAUUCCUAGUGUAGCGGUGAAAUGCGUAGAUAUUAGGAGGAACACCAGUGGCGAAGGCGACUUUCUGGACUGUAACUGACGCUGAGGCACGAAAGCGUGGGGAGCAAACAGG
rnacentral:rRNA from 1 species